CAAUGCUUUUUAAGUUUUUUUAAGCAUUUUUGGAUUAUUUUAAUUUUUAUUACUACACUUUUGUGGUACUUAGCUUUUCUGAUUCCCAACUAUGACGAAAGCACGUCUGGUCAUUUCGGUAUUUUGUUUAUGUCUAAUAGCAUUGUUUGCAACUUUAGUUUACUUGAUCAGUAAUAUUAACCCUACAGCGAUGUCGGAAUUAAAAUAUGACGACGCAGAUUACUUAUUGAGCCCAAAUGAGGUAGGUUAUGGACUUGAAAAAGUAACUGUUGAUUAUGAUUAUGACCAACCAAGCAAAAAUAUUACAAGAGUUAAAACUGUACCACAAUUAAAGAAUGAAAUCCAAACAAAUUAUACUCGGAAACAAAUGGGUUUUAAAAUGAUAACUAAACCAAUCAAAGCUGUUAAAGUCUUCAGGAGAUCGAUUAACGAAGAAAAUCAUUACGAAGAACAUAGUACAGAAACACCUUAAUCCUUGCUUUUAGAAAUAAAAGACUUAGCCGGACAACCGAGAAUUGAAAUCAAACUCGUUGCAGAAAAACUAAAGAGCAACACAAGU